rnacentral:rRNA from 1 species
UACGAAGGGGGCUAGCGUUGCUCGGAAUCACUGGGCGUAAAGGGCGCGUAGGCGGACUCUUAAGUCGGGGGGUGAAAGCCCAGGGCUCAACCCUGGAAUUGCCUUCGAUACUGAGAGUCUUGAGUUCGGAAGAGGUUGGUGGAACUGCGAGUGUAGAGGUGAAAUUCGUAGAUAUUCGCAAGAACACCAGUGGCGGAAGGCGGCCAACUGGUCCGAUACUGACGCUGAGGCG